ensembl:misc_RNA Y_RNA Y RNA
GGCUGGUCUGAGUGCAGUGGUGUUUAUAACUAACUGACCACAAUGAGUUACAGAUUAUUUUGUUCCUUCUCCAUUCUCACUGCUUCCCUUGACUAGCCUUAU